rnacentral:lncRNA from 1 species
GGUUCUAUUUUUGGAUGUGGGCUCAGACAUUAGGAGCAGGCAGUAUCUUUUCUUUUUCUUUUUCUUUCUUUCUUUUUUUUUUUUUUUGACAGGAUGGGCUGGGGUUGGGGGAGGAGGAAGCAAGAAUUAAGCAGAGAAGGCAAGCUCCUUUCUGUUCAUCUAACUCAAACUGUUUCCAAGUGUGAACCCAGUGGAGACCUUUUCAAACUGUAGCCAUGAAGCAGGUUGCAUGAGGCAGUUCCAUCUCCUGGCAACUGUCUCCAUAGACACAGCCUGGUUUCGGUCCGCAUCCCUUACCUAGGAUUCUUCCUGGCUAAAGAAACCCAUAAAAGUGGAAAACUCAAACUCCACAGUGCAAAUAUCUCUUGAGUCUGCCUGCACUACCCUUUCUUGAAUGUGUAUUGAUAAGACUGCAGUUGACAUUUUAAGAAAUUUAAAUUUCAACCUGAAGUCAAUAAGGACACCUCAGAAGUUUUCAAAGGAAGGAUGGAGUCUGUUGAAAAGAACCGGUUGGUAAAAUGAGAAAAAAUGGAUUGAAGGAGACCCAAGUGACCACCUGGUAAUUACUUCAACAGCAGAGCGACUCAUACAGCCGGCAGUCCACUUUGUUCUUCUAUAGAUCCUGCCUGUGGUGUUGGAUCUAACAGCUUCUUCCCUGACCCAAGAUUAUGAAGGAUUUCUCCUGUGUUCUCUUCUAAAAAUUUUACAUUUAGGUCCUGGGCUUUCUCUGCUAGAAGAGGCUGAAUUCCUGGAGUACCUAGAGUACAGAGCUGGAGAGAAAUCUAGAAGUGGAAUUGCUGAGCUGUAGAGUAUGUGAAUCUCUACAACUUUCAACUUUACCAUGUAUUGUCAAAUUGCUCUCCAAAGUGAUGGUACCAAUUAAUGAUACUACCAAUAAGACCUGCACUAUAAAAAAUGGUAGAGGAAGUUCUUCAGUAUGAAAGUGAAUGAUACCAGAUGGAAACUGAGAUCUACAAAAUGAAACAUCACUGGAAAUAGUAAAUACAUGGAUUUAUGCUGCCAGAGUGGUUCUUCUAGUAAGAAGCCCCUUGCCAUCAGACACUGCAUUUCACUUGGUGAUUUUCCAGACUCCUCAAAUCUUUUAUGGAAAGAGGUAGAUCACGGAUACAAAUAUAAAAAGAUAAAAAUAGCAACUUGCCUUUCAAUUGAGUAAAACAAUUUAUUCAGCAUAGUAAAGAUGAAUUAAAUUUGUGGAAGUUAUCCCAUUAGAUUAUCUUUUAAAUGAUUAAUAUAAAGCCAGAAGAUGUAUUUCACUUCCAAAGGCAUAACCUGUUAAUCUCAAAAUUCUACAAUUUCUCUUUAUCUCUCCUUUUUUCUCGACCCCUUGGGUUCAUUCCCCAUCCUUGCUUUUCCAGGCUGCUGCCAUUCUUCUAAAUACACUUUCUGUAGUCUUCUAGCACCUUCACAUUCCAGUGUCCACCUUGUUGCCUUGUUGCCAGAGAGACCUUUUUCAGAUACACAUCUGAGUAUGUUAUUCUCUUUCAAUUUCUCCCCAUUACCGUCAACACAAAGUCCACACCUUUUGCAUAACAGUGCUCACAAGAAAUACUAGCUUCCUACAUCCUUUCAUUGCCUAACCUGGCGCUUAAAGCCUCCACAGUCUGUUUUCCAUCUGCUCUUAUAUUGUUAUUUUCUUCUGCCCUUUUCCACUUUACAAAUUCCCAGCCAUCCAGGACAUCUUUAUGUUCCCCAAGGAUGAGUUAAACGUUCAUAUUUCCAUGCCUUUUUUCACUUUUUUCUCUCUCUUCCCUGACUAGAAAAUUUGUAUUCCUCUUUUUAGAAUCAGCCACCUUGUGCUACAUCCUUUGUGAAGACUUAUUUGCCAGUCCCUGACAACCCCCCUUUCCCACCUGUAGAUUCAGCUCCCCUACCUCUGCACUUUCAUAGCAUCUAGUACUUACAUAUCUCUAAGAGUACACUUGGAUAUUAGCCUGUAGCAUUUGUGCACAUGGCUGUCUCUCUCAAUGGACUGUGAGCUCCUUGAGGGUAGAGACUGCCUAUCUUAUUUUAUUUUUUGAGUCAUUAGUGACAAAUAUAGUGCCUGGUACAGGGUGCUAGUAGACUGUAAUGGCUCAACAGUUAAACUACAGAUUCAAAAAGACCUGAGUGGGAAGUCCAAUGUUAGUACUUACUAGCUAAGUAAUAUUGGGAAAGUCACCUGAUUCCUCUUGAUUUUAACUUUUUUUCAUCUGUAAAAUGCAGACAAUAACAAAAUACCUAUCUUAUAAGGCUGUUGCAAAAAUUAAAUAAGUUAGUAUGUGUAG